UAUUGGCCAAUGGACGCGCGUCUGAACCAACCAAGUAGCGUGAAGGAUGACUGGCCUAUGGGUUGUAAACUUCUUUUAUAUGGUAAUAAAGUUUUCCACGUGUGGAAUUUUGUAUGUACCAUACGAUUAAGGAUCGGCUAACUCCGUGCAAGCAGCCGCGGUAAUACGGAGUAUCCGAGCGUUAUCCGGAUUUAUUGGGUUUAAAGGGAGCGUAGGUGGACAGUUAAGUCAGUUGUGAAAGUUUGCGGCUCAACCGUAAAAUUGCAGUUGAUACUGGCUGUCUUGAGUACAGUAGAGGUGGGCGGAAUUCGUGGUGUAGCGGUGAAAUGCUUAGAUAUCACGAAGAACUCCGAUUGCGAAGGCAGCUCACUGGACUGCAACUGACACUGAUGCUCGAAAGUGUGGGUAUCAAACA
rnacentral:rRNA from 1 species